CGAGUCAUUGUAGCAAUACAAGGCAUACGGCUCAGUAACGCGUAGUCAACCUAACCUAUGGACGGGAAUAACCUCGGGAAACUGAGAAUAAUGCCCGAUAGAACAUUAUGCCUGGAAUGGUUUAUGUUCCAAAUGAUUUAUCGCCGUAGGAUGGGACUGCGGCCUAUCAGUUUGUUGGUGAGGUAAUGGCCCACCAAGACUAUUACAGGUACGGGCUCUGAGAGGAGUAGCCCGGAGAUGGGUACUGAGACACGGACCCAGGCCCUAUGGGGCGCAGCAGGCGAGAAAACUUUGCAAUGUGCGAAAGCACGACAAGGUUAAUCCGAGUGGUUUCUGCUAAAGGAACCUUUUGUCAGUCCUAGAAACACUGAUGAAUAAGGGGUGGGCAAGUUCUGGUGUCAGCCGCCGCGGUAAAACCAGCACCUCAAGUGGUCAGGAUGAUUAUUGGGCCUAAAGCAUCCGUAGCCGGCUCUGUAAGUUUUCGGUUAAAUCUGUACGCUCAACGUACAGGCUGCCGGGAAUACUGCAGAGCUAGGGAGUGGGAGAGGUAGACGGUACUCGGUAGGAAGGGGUAAAAUCCUUUGAUCUAUUGAUGACCACCUGUGGCGAAGGCGGUCUACCAGAACACGUCCGACGGUGAGGGAUGAAAGCUGGGGGAGCAAACCGGAUUAGAUACCCGGGUAGUCCCAGCUGUAAACCAUGCAAACUCA
rnacentral:rRNA from 2 species